GAUUUGAAUACGUUGACACUAUAGUUUCACAAUCCCAUACUUCUGAGUCACUGCUGCUUUCAUCAAAAAUAGCUGUUUCUUCCGCUGGACCUUCAUUUUCAUACUUCUCUGCAUAUUCUCUGCACCGGUUUAUGACAUCAGCUUCAGGUUCAAGCAAUUCCGCAUCAUCUGGUCCAUAAUUAUUGAGUUCCAAGCCAUCAAUGGCACGCUCCUUAAAUGCAUGAUUAAGCUUUUCUGCAAGGGAUUCGUGACAUUCAUUUUCCUCAAUCAUAUCACCAUCAUAUUCUUCUUCGGUAUCAGAUCCAUACUCUUCAAGUUCAAGCAUAUCAAACUGUUCAUCCAGAGGGCGGCGUGCUCUUGGCUUCUCUUCAAUAGUCGCAAAUUUGGCCUCAUUUCUCUGCACAGGUCCAGCAGUAUCAUUGCUUCCUACUUUGUCAACAUCUGAUCUCUCUAUUAACCUUAAAUUCUUGUCAAGUUCCACAUUAUCUGCCCCAUCAGGUAGGUUUGCCGUGAUAACAAAAUCUUCUUCCAACUCUAAAUCCUCAUCAUCAGACCCAAAACGUGACAAAUCACUGUCAUCUAGCAAAGCAGCAACUUCAGGAUCCACU
rnacentral:misc_RNA from 1 species